CAGUAGCCGCGGUAAUACGAAGGGGGCUAGCGUUGCUCGGAAUGACUGGGCGUAAAGGGCGCGUAGGCGGCAUGUACAGUCAGACGUGAAAUUCCUGGGCUUAACCUGGGGGCUGCGUUUGAUACGUGCAGGCUAGAGUGGGGAAGAGGGUUGUGGAAUUCCCAGUGUAGAGGUGAAAUUCGUAGAUAUUGGGAAGAACACCGGUGGCGAAGGCGGCAACCUGGUCCUUGACUGACGCUGAGGCGCGAAAGCGUGGGGAGCAAACAGGAUUAGAUACCCCCGUAGUCCCUGUCUCUUAUAC
rnacentral:rRNA from 1 species